GAUGAACGCUGGCGACGUGGAUUAGGCAUGCAAGUCAAACGACCCUUCGGGGUAGUGGCAAACGGGGUAGUAACAGGUAGGAACGUACCUAGAAGUCAGGAAUAGCCCAUCGAAAGAUGGAUUAAUACCUGAUAGUCCCUUCGGGGUAAAGAUUUAUCGCUUCUAGAGCGGCCUGCUUCGUAUCAGCUUGUUGGUAAGGUAAAAGCUUACCAAGGCUAUGACGCGUAGGGGAGCUGAGAGGCUGACCCCCACCAUUGGCACUGAGACACUGGCCAAACACCUACGGGUGGCUGCAGUCGAGAAUCUUCCGCAAUGCACGAAAGUGUGACGGAGCGACGUCGCGUGAUCGAUGAAGUCCUUCGGGAUGUAAAGGUCUUUUAUAGGUGAAGAAGUUUAUUGACAUUAACCUAUGAAUAAGGGGUUGCUAAACUCG
rnacentral:rRNA from 1 species